CUUAAAUUGAAGAGUUUGAUCAUGGCUCAGAUUGAACGUUGGCGGCAGGCCUCAUACAUGCAAGUCGAACGGUAACAGCGGAGCUUGCUCCGGCUGACGAGUGGCGGACGGGUGAGUAACGCGUAGGAAUCUGCCCAGUAGUGGGGGACAGCCCGAGGAAACUCGGAUUAAUACCGCAUACGCCCUAAGGGGGAAAGGGGGCCUUUGGCUCUCGCUAUUGGAGGAGCCUGCGUUGGAUUAGCUAGUUGGUGGGGUAACGGCCUACCAAGGCGACGAUCCAUAGCUGGUCUGAGAGGACGAUCAGCCACACUGGGACUGAGACACGGCCCAGACUCCUACGGGGGGCAGCAGUAAGGAAUCUUGUGCAAUGGGGGAAACCCUGACACAGCCAUGCCGCGUGUGUGAAGAAGGCCUUAGGGUUGUAAAGCACUUUCAGUAGAGACGAAUUAGCGGGGUUAAUAGCCCCGUGAAAUGACUUAACCUACAGAAGAAGAUCCGGCUAACUCCGUGCCAGCAGCCGCGGUAAUACGGAGGGUGCAAACGUUAAUCGGAAUUACUGGGCGUAAAGCGCGCGUAGGUGGUUCAUUAAGUGGGAUGUGAAAGCCCUGGGCUUAACCUGGGAACUGCAUUCCAAACUGGCGAACUAGAGUACGAUAGAGGGGGGUAGAAUUCACAGUGUAGCGGUGAAAUGCGUAGAUAUUGUGAGGAAUACCAGUGGCGAAGGCGGCCCCCUGGAUUGAUACUGACACUCAGUGUGCGAAAGCGUGGGGAGCAAACAGGAUUAGAUACC
rnacentral:rRNA from 1 species